AUUGAACGCUGGCGGCAGGCCUAACACAUGCAAGUCGAACGGUAACAGGAAGCAGCUUGCUGCUUUGCUGACGAGUGGCGGACGGGUGAGUAAUGUCUGGGAAACUGCCCGAUGGAGGGGGAUAACUACUGGAAACGGUAGCUAAUACCGCAUAACGUCGCAAGACCAAGAGGGGGACCUUAGGGCCUCUUGCCAUUGGAUGUGCCCAGAUGGGAUUAGCUAGUAGGUGGGGUAACGGCUCACCUAGGCGACGAUCCCUAGCUGGUCUGAGAGGAUGACCAGCCACACUGGAACUGAGACACGGUCCAGACUCCUACGGGAGGCAGCAGUGGGGAAUAUUGCACAAUGGGCGCAAGCCUGAUGCAGCCAUGCCGCGUGUAUGAAGAAGGCCUUCGGGUUGUAAAGUACUUUCAGCGGGGAGGAAGGGAGUAAAGUUAAUACCUUUGCUCAUUGACGUUACCCGCAGAAGAAGCACCGGCUAACUCCGUG
rnacentral:rRNA from 1 species